GGAGAACCUUUAGACUAAAAUUCAUAUUUUUAGGCUUAAUCAAUUCAUAUACUAAUUAGGUUUUAAUUUUUUUUUUACAGUUAUGGCCACCACCUUAUCACUCCAAUCACUAUUAGAUAGUGAUAAACUGAUGAGACCAAAUUUUGAUAGCUGAUAUUAAAAGCUCAAAAUAAUCUUGAAGCACGAAUAGAUCUUGUAUGUGUUGACUGAUCCGACACCCG
rnacentral:lncRNA from 1 species